rnacentral:antisense_RNA from 1 species
AACUUUCCGUGCGCAGGGCGCCUUCGGGUGCGCCGGUUUUUCCAGAUACUCCGGUCUACUAACUUGUCUACGGCAGCUACCUAU